UAGGGAAUCUUCCACAAUGGACGCAAGUCUGAUGGAGCAACGCCGCGUGAGUGAAGAAGGUUUUCGGACCGUAAAGCUCUGUUGUUGGUGAAGAAGGAUAGAGGUAGUAACUGGCCUUUAUUUGACGGUAAUCAACCAGAAAGUCACGGCUAACUACGUGCCAGCAGCCGCGGUAAUCGUAGGUGGCAAGCGUUGUCCGGAUUUAUUGGGCGUAAAGCGAGCGCAGGCGGAAGAAUAAGUCUGAUGUGAAAGCCCUCGGCUUAACCGAGGAAUUGCAUCGGAAACUGUUUUCUUGAGUGCAGAAGAGGAGAGUAGAACUCCAUGUGUAGCGGUGGAAUGCGUAGAUAUAUGGAAGAAUACCAGUGGCGAAGGCGGCUCUCUGGUCUGCAACUGACGCUGAGGCUCGAAAGCAUGGGUAGCGAACAGGAUUAGAUACCCUGGUAGUCCAUGCCGUAAACGAUGAGUGCUAAGUGUUGGGAGGCUUCCGCCUCUCAGUGCUGCAGCUAACGCAUUAAGCACUCCGCCUAGGGAGUACGACCGCAAGGUUGAA
rnacentral:rRNA from 1 species